AGUACGAAUUAACAACUGUAUUAUUGUUCGUGACAGCUCUGCAAUGGCUAAAGUACCCCAGCUUGGAGCGAACAUGGCCACGGCAGUCCGGCACUUCUGUUCGACCACUGUCAAUGCGAAACGUCAUAUAAAAACUAUGUACAGAACGAAGAUGCCUCAAGUUGUUUUGCUAAGCUGUGGUUCCUACAAUCCGAUAACCAAUAUGCACUUACGAAUGUUUGAACUUGCUCGUGAUAAUUUGCAAAGGAAUGGUCGGUACGAUGUGAUUGGUGGAAUUGUCUCUCCAGUAAACGAUAAUUAUGGCAAAAAGGACUUGAUCAGCUCAUAUCAUCGAUGUAAAAUGGUGGAGAAAUCUUUAGAGAGUUCUGAUUGGAUCAUAUUAGAUCGGUGGGAGAGCGACCUGAACUGCUGGACCGAGACUCGUCAUGUGUUGGCCUACCACAGCAACAGAUUGAAUAGUUCAGAGACAACCAACCAUAUCGGUGAUGAAAACCAGAAUCCGAAUGCAAUAUUGGUGAAACUCUUGUGUGGUGCUGAUCUUUUAGAAUCCUUUGGAGUACCAAACUUAUGGAGAAAAGAACAUAUCGAAGAAAUUGUUGGUAAAUAUGGUUUAGUGUGCAUCAGCCGAGCAGGAAGUGAUCCUUACAAGUUUAUUUAUGAAUCUGAUGUAUUAACGAAGUACCAGGACAACAUAACAAUUGUGACGGAAUGGUUAAGUAACGAAAUAAGUUCUACCAAAAUCAGACGAGCAAUAAGGAGAGGUGAGAGUGUGAAAUAUCUUGUUCAAGAUGCUGUCAUUGAUUACAUCAUCAAAGAGAAGCUGUACACAUCAGAGGACAAAGAAGAAAAUACACAUCAAGCCAUAUCAACCUAAGAACCCAGACACAUUCGGAAACAUGGCUUCUCCACAUAUUUUGUUAUUUUUUGUUUGUUUGUUUGUUUUGUUUUUGAUGAUGAAAAUAACAAUAAUUUGUGGUGUUACUCCAGCAUGGCCUUGAAUGACAGCUGUUCAGAAGCACUAAGCUGCUAAAGAGCAUAACUAUGACCAUUUUCUUUCAUUAAAUGUUUUUUUUUUUAUUGGUGAAUGAAUGUCAUUGAUUGAAUUGACCCAGUGUAUGACUGGUAUGUCUUUUGUAUCUUCCCUCCCUCUGCCUUACUAGAAUGGGUGGUGAACCUUGAUUACAUUCAAAUUAAGAAUUUAGAGAUCUACACUCUCGUUUUCACUCAUUGAUCUGAUGAUGACAAGAAAGACAUGAUACGAGAACAGAGUUCCAAUUAAUCUUACCUGAAAUGGUUAAAAAAGCAAAAGAAGCUAAUACAGUUUUGUGGGGAGGUGCACUGGAUUUAAUUAACAUAUAGAUUUGGCUCACACAUACACCUGGGGCAUCCUCUGAAGAUUCUCUUGAAGAUUUGGGAAGAAAUAUUUCCCAUAUGUUCCUCAUGUGUUUAUUGUUUUUACACAUCUGCCACAGUCUUCCACAGCGUCCCUUAUUUGUCCCCUGUCUGCACUGGGUACAAUAUGGAACUUCUACCUGUCCCUUUUUUACACAUUGAACAGGGCUGUUUACCUGAACGGAGUCAAGUGCUGACUGGGUUUUCUUUUUUUUAUCUGUUUACCAGAACUUUGCUCAGUUUCUUUCAAGGUCUUUUGAUUCCAGGCUUUUCUGGGAGCUGACUGACAACUGUGCUCCGGUGAACUUGUACCUGCACACUAAAUUUGUUUCUUUCACCUUAUUGACAACAUCCCUUUAUAUGGUUUGAAUGGGUCUCAUCAGUCAUUCAUUUGCUCCUAGCUUCUGCAGCAGAUCGGGGAGCAAAGGACCCAGUCAAAGGGCACAUUGCACCAGUUCAGGAAAUGGACUAAUGACCUUAUCAGAAGCUCAACACCUUAAUCACUAAGCUACACACACACACACACAACCUGAAGUUAAAAAUUUCCUGUGAUAUUUUCUUGCAAUAUUUUUUAUAAAGUAUUUUACUCCACUGGAGCUUAAUUCUAACAACCCAUGCCAGCACAGACGUUGAAUGAUGCUGAUGAUGCUGAUUACCUUUUCUACCUCUCUUUAUUAAUCCGCUCAAUUAUUAUUAAAUGCGGGUUUGCUGACAACCAUUAAUUUUGCGUGGAAAGCAAUUUUCUGUUAUUUAUUACAUAUUGUUUACUGUCAUUGAUUAGACAUAAGACAGUGGAUAUUUGAUAGUUUGGUGUGUGUUUGACAAGGAACUAUGUACAGUGCAACUCCAAUAUUGUGGAGCUCCAUGUUAUACAGACAGUCUGGGAAUGCAUUGCUGGGUCAUUACAAACUUCUUUUCUCAUUCAUGUGGUUCCAGGUUGGAUGACACAUGCCUUAUAAAUGAAAUUGGGGUAACCUUUCAUGUGGAAUUUCUAAGAUAGCUCCCUGAUAUGCUCCACUCACUAUUAAUGUCUCCUUGGAGAGGACCCAUUGGCUACUUCAGCCUGGCUUCUAUCUCAAUCUUUUGAGUUGUCAUGUAACGACUAUCUUAGUUUUACCACAUCAUCCUGUGAUUAACCUUAUCAAAGGUAUUUACUACAUUGAGGUGUAUCAUCAUCCACAUCUGAGCGAUUCAUAAGUUGUGUGUGUGUAUAUAUAUAUAUAUA
rnacentral:misc_RNA from 1 species